rnacentral:rRNA from 1 species
CCCUACGGGGUGCAGCAGGCGCGAAACCUUCACAAUGUGCGAAAGCACGAUGAGGGAAUCCCAAGUGCUUGCUCGUAAGAGUAAGCUGUUUUUAUGUCUAAAAAGCAUAGAGAGUAAGGGCUGGGUAAGACGGGUGCCAGCCGCCGCGGUAAUACCUGCAGCUCAAGUGGUGACCGCUAUUAUUGGGCCUAAAACGUUCGUAGCCGGUUUGGUAAAUGUCUGGGUAAAUCGUGUAGCUUAACUAUACGAAUUCCGGGUAGACUGCCAAACUUGAGACCGGGAGAAGCUAGAGGUACUCCUGGGGUAGAGGUGAAAUUCUGUAAUCCUGGGGGGACCACCAGUGGCGAAGGCGUCUAGCUAGAACGGGUUUGACGGUGAGGAACGAAGCCCUGGGGCGCAAACCGGAUUAGAUACCCGGGUAGUCCAGGGUGUAAACGCUGCUUGCUUGAUGUUAGUUGGGCUCCGAGCCCAAUUAGUGUCGGAGAGAAGUUGUUAAGCAAGCUGCCUGGGAAGUACGAUCGCAAGAUUGAAACUUAAAGGAAUUGGCGGGGGAGCACAGCAACGGGUGGAGCGUGCGGUUUAAUUGGAUUCAACGCCGGAAAACUCACCGGAGGCGACGGUUACAUGAAGGCCAGGCUGAUGACCUUGCUUGAUUUUCCGAGAAGAGGUGCAUGGGCCAA